rnacentral:rRNA from 1 species
UACGGAGGGUGCAAGCAUUAAUCGGAAUUAUUGGGCGUAAAGGGCGCGUAGGCGGGAGAGUAAGUCAGAUGUGAAAUUCCAGAGCUCAACUCUGGAGCUGCAUUUGAAACUGUUUUUCUUGAGGGUCGACGGAGAAAACGGAAUUCCACGUGUAGCGGUGAAAUGCGUAGAUAUGUGGAAGAACACCGGUGGCGAAAGCGGUUUCUAGUUGAUACCUGACGCUGAGGCGCGAGAGCAAGGGGAGCAAACAGG